rnacentral:misc_RNA from 1 species
GAUGAAGAACGUAGCGAAAUGCGAUAAGUAAUGUGAAUUGCAGAAUUCAGUGAAUCAUCGAAUCUUUGAACGCACCUUGCGCCCUUUGGACAUUCCGAAGGGCAUGCCUGUUUGAGUAUCAUGAACACCUCAACUCUCACGGCUUGUCCGUGAUGAGCUUGGACUUUGGGGGUCUUGCCGGCCUAUGGUCGGCUCCUCUCAAAUGGAUCAGCUUGCCAGUGUUUGGUGGCAUCACAGGUGUGAUAACUAUCUGCGCUUGUGGUUUUCCAUCAGAUAACCUUCAGUGAUAUGGAGGUUCGCUGGAGCUCACAAAUGUCUCUCCUUAGUGAGGACAGCUCUUUGAACGUUUGAUCUCAAAUCAGGUAGGACUACCCGCUGAACUUAAGCAUAUCAAUAAGCGGAGGA